GACGAACGCUGGCGGCGGGCUUAACACAUGCAAGUCGAACGGAAAGGCCCUGCUUUUGUGGGGUGCUCGAGUGGCGAACGGGUGAGUAACACGUGAGUAACCUGCCCUUGACUUUGGGAUAACUUCAGGAAACUGGGGCUAAUACCGGAUAGGAGCUCCUGCUGCAUGGUGGGGGUUGGAAAGUUUCGGCGGCUGGGCAUGGACUCGCGGCUUAUCAGCUUGUUGGUGGGGUAGUGGAUUACCAAGGCUUUGACGGGUAGCCGGCCUGAGAGGGUGACCGGCCACAUUGGGACUGAGAUACGGCCCAGACUACUACGGGAGGCAGCAGUGGGGAAUAUUGCACGAUGGGCGGAAGCCUGAUGCAGCAACGCCGCGUGCGGGAUGACGGCCUUCGGGUUGUAAACCGCUUUCGCCUGUGACGAAGCGUGAGUGACGGUAAUGGGUACAGAAGCACCGGCUAACUACGUG
rnacentral:rRNA from 1 species